rnacentral:tRNA from 1 species
CAGAGAAUAGUUUAAUUAAAAUAAUAAUUUUGGAGAUUGUUGAUAGGGUAAUUCCUUUUCUCUGA